rnacentral:rRNA from 1 species
ACAGAGGGUGCAAGCGUUAAUCGGAAUUACUGGGCGUAAAGCGCGCGUAGGUGGUUUGUUAAGUUGGAUGUGAAAGCUCCGGGCUCAACCUGGGAACUGCAUCCAAAACUGGCAAGCUAGAGUAUGGUAGAGGGUGGUGGAAUUUCCUGUGUAGCGGUGAAAUUCGUAGAUAUAAGUAAGCACACCAGUUUCUGCGGCGACCACCUGGACUAGUACUGACGCUGAGGUGCGAAAGCGUGGGGAGCAAACAG